CAAUGCACCAUGUUGGCUCUCUAGCAGAUCUGUAACUUACCACUGUCCACCUGAUGGAAACCACAGUAACAUCUUUUCCCACCACUCUGACAGCUGGUGUGUGGUAUCUAUGGAUCACAUGUGCCAGCACAGAAGAGACAGGAGUUUCCCUUGAGCUACCUGACUUCCAGAUGAGCUGCAAAAAAGGUGAGCCUGAGGUUCAAG
rnacentral:lncRNA from 1 species